rnacentral:rRNA from 1 species
UACGUAGGGGGCAAGCGUUGUUCGGAAUUACUGGGCGUAAAGGGCGCGUAGGCGGCGUGACAAGUCACUUGUGAAAUCUCUGGGCUUAACCCAGAACGGCCAAGUGAAACUGUCGUGCUAGAGUGCGGAAGGGGCAAUCGGAAUUCUCGGUGUAGCGGUGAAAUGCGUAGAUAUUGGGAAGAACACCAGUGGCGAAAGCGCACUUCUGGGUUGUUACUGACGCUGAGGUACGAAAGCGUGGGGAGCAAACGGG